rnacentral:lncRNA from 1 species
AAGCAUUCAAGGUGCUAGCCAGGAAUUAUUUGGAUAUUGAAUCGCAUGAAUUAUUUGGGAAAAUCGAAGAGUUGUUUGUGGAGACAAAGAUGUCCCCAGCUGAUGUUGCUGAUAAUUUGAUGCCAAAGUCUGACGAACAAGAUGAGGAGACUUGUUUGAAGAGAUUGGUUGAAGCUCUUGAAGCUUCAAAGGAGGAAGCUAGAAAGAAAUCAGAAGAAGCAGCAGUGCUGAAGACCAAGGAUGGAGUAGUCACUGAAGGUUAGGACAGAAUGGAACCAUUUGGGAUAUGAAGCAGCUUGGUUGGAUCACAGCGUUGUUGCAGUUAAAGGGUAUUUUAUGGUGUUUUCUGUUAAUUAGUAUAUUGUAUAGUAUGGCUUCGUAGUCCAGGAGAUUUGUUCCAGUAAAUAUAAAUGUCAUUUCUUUCUCUUGUAAAUCUGUAGACUGUACAUAAGAAGUGGAACUGGGUGUAUUAUUAAUUAUAUAAUAUGAUAUUGCAAUAAACUCAUCUAGUUAGCAGAGUGGUCUCCUUUCGCUGCAUACUUGUUUCUUGUACCUUAUAUUCUAUUGUUUCCAGCUCCAUGUCAAUGCUCAUGCAUUGAUUUGUGUCAAUAGUUGGCCAGCAUAGCCUUCUUUACUUGUUUUGCACUGAUCAGAUUGUGAUGAUUUAUUUAUUUAUAUAUGCAGAGUUCUGUGAUUAAUGCUAAAAUAAUAAUAAAAAAAAAUUGUAUCAACAAUCUUAAGGGUUAUAAAAUCCCUAUAUUAUUAAUGUAGCUAAGCUUAAGAUCAAUGAAUCAAUGCAAGUUUAAGAAUAAUAAUCCAACCAUCAUCAACUCAUCACUAAGAUUGCGUUCGGUUAAUGUAUUGAAAGAGAAUGGAUAAGUAAACGUGUUUCGUUAAAGAAACAAGAACAUGCCUGAUAACUUCCAAUGACAUGAAUGACAACAAACAAAUUAGCAACGGCAACAAGCCACCGAGGCUUCUCUAGUUAUAAGAGCAUGCUGUCCUCAACUUUGUUUCCAAACACCCAGCAACCUAUGAAACUAACAGGUAAGUAACACAAAGCAACAACCACUCCUUUCCACAUUGGUUUCUUGGAAGGCUUCCCUUGGUGUGGAAGGGAUGGUUGCCUGGAUCUCCAACGCCACUCUGUGCCCUGCGAAGGCAAAAGCUAUAUCUCCUAGAGCACUGAAGCUGUCGAACAUCUGCCCAGUAUUUGUUGAAGCCCUUGAGGUAUACUGCACAUCUGGUUGAACCCCUUGGUGCCACGAAAGCACCCACGCAAUAGUCGAGUAACUACACGUAACACAUAAUUGAUAUUAGAACAACAUUCAAGGAGUUUGGACACAAAAUUAGCUUAGAAAUGGUAGUGACAGCAUAUAGAAAUGACAAUAGAUCUAUCUUGCCUCAAGGACAUGACAGCAGCGGCAAGAGAGACAGCGGUGAUGGAAUUGAAACUGGGGAGAUGUGAGAUGACAAAGUGAACCGAGGAAAAGAUCAUAAUCAAAUAGGUAAGUUUGAUUUCUUUGUAGUUAGGCCAGAUGGUAUCAUGAUCCUUCUUCAGAGAUUUCCCUCCAGUAAUCAUAUACACUAUACUCGAACCCAUUUCCACCAUUAGUUGCUGGGGUACCACCACCCAAAGCCCGAGUUUUUCACCAAAUACAUGCUGCCCUAACUCCUGAUACCUAUCAAAUCUCUUUCCAGGCACCAUUUCAUGCAUCUCCACCAUUUGCCAUAGUGUAUAUAGAGUGAUAACGCGUGACAGGAUCAAUACAGCAGCACCGGGACCCCUAAAACAAAAUCAAGAACAUGAUUUAGCCAUUGAGAUCACAUUAAGUAAACAACACUACUGUUGCCAUGGUUAAUUAUAAAUUCCAGCCUCUAGACCUCGACAAUUUGACUUAGAAAAUAAUGAUCCUUUAGCCAUUGUUUUGGCUACAGAAUGCUUAUUUACCAUCCAAGUUGAGACAUAGCAUAAGGGAGGUCCAGGACCUCAGCACCAACCAUGGCUGUAACAUUGUGAAAGGCAAAAUACCAUCACUUUGCAUUCCUAGACUUGGUGAUGGGAAGCAAGUCAUUCAGGUCUUUCUUCGCGGGCUUGACAUAUCUUUUACCGGCCUGCUGUAUUUGAUCCAUUUUUAUUAUUUUAUAAAAUUAAGAUUAAUUUGCAUAGCAAUAAAAAUUAUCUAAGAGGUUGUAACUGUUCAAGAGUUCAAAAAUUGAUUAUAAAUUUGAAUAGCAGUUAGCUAGAUCUUAUAUUGUGAAGUAUAUAUAUGUAUCUAGAAAUAAGAGUUUGUUUUCUUUAAAAAUUAAAUUUAUUUUGACUAAGUUAUUCACUAAAAAAAUUUAAAAUAUAGAUAAUGUUCAAAAGUAAUUUAAUUAUCUGUAUAUAUAUAUAUAUAUAUAUAUAUAUAUAUUAUAGGAUUUCUUUUUUAUAUAUCUGCCUAUAAAAUCUUCCUGGGAGUUUCUAACAAAGGUUGAUAUCUUCAGAAUAAUAUGGAAGAUAUAAGAACUCCUCCUAAUUGGAGUUCUCUCAAAAUUGACGCAUUAACCUUGUCUUCAUUGCUCUUUGAUGACAUCCACCCUGUUACGUCAUGGUUUCAGUUUCCAAUUUGAAUUUAGAGUUGUGGUGCAGUUCAAAUUCAGAAAAUACUAAAAACAGACUUGCUGUGGCGAAACAAAAAAGAUAUGCUUGCCUUAGGAUUGGUUGGGCAGCACCAUCAAUGUUAAAGUAACGUUAAUUUAGUAUUCCCAAAUUGCAAGUGGGAUGGUCCAAUUCUUUGUCCUGGCCUAUUGGCACUCUUGUUUCCGGUGAGAAUCCCAUAUAAUUAUGCUAAUUAUGUUGCCUAAAAUUAUUAGAAGACUAAUUAAACUUAUGGAUUGUUUAGUUUAUGGUAAUAUGAGUAUUUUAUUUAAAUUAGAUAUCCAAGUAAGAACUAGAGAGUAUAAAAGCAUGCAAAACAUAUAUAUUCAUGGCAAACAUGUAGUAAAAAACUAAAAAAAGACAAAGCACAUAUAUUCAAAGAAACAUAAGAUAUAAUAAAAAACACAAUCUUAGCAUGUAUGUUAAUAUAUUUUAAUUAAUAUAAAAAAGAGAUAAUUACUUGUUGAAACUCAUUCUUAUAAAUUUAACAAACCUCAUAUACCAACCUAAAAUCCUGUUGGAAAAAAAAAAAAAACCUUUUAUAGCCCAAAAAUAAACUUAAGCCUAGUCCUGGUUAUGCAUGCAUGUUUAAGCUCAAAAUUUAUUUUUCUUAUUACCUCUCUUUUAAAAAAGUUUGAGUGUCUUUUGGGUUUCAGUUAUCAAACUCGACCAAGAAACCGGGUUCGGAGUCAACUAGAGAAAAUUUAAAAAAAUAUUUAAGAUUUUAACAUUUUACAUGAAAAGUCAAAGAUAUAAUUAAUGUGGAUGUAGGUUAUACAUGUUGUAAAUAAUGAAGUUUAAAAGAUUAUUUAAAAAAAAUUAAUUUAUUUCAUAUUAGAAAGAUAUUAUCUUCUCAUUUAAGUUGAAAUAUAUUUAAACUAAAAAAGUUUUUCGUUCUAUAUUAAAAAAAACAAUUUUUUUUAUAAAUAUAUAAUGUAUAUAUUAAUGAACUUUCAAUCCUAUGUGAAAAAAAUAAAAGCUUUUUCUAAUAUUUAUAUAAUGAAUUUUAAAAAUCAAUUUGAACUUUUUGAAGACACUAAGAUGCAAAUUGAGGUAUUAAAGAUUGCACUACUCUAGAAGAGUACAAUUCAUGAUGGAUGGCUUUGUGUCCUGGUGCAUGGUGCAUAGUAAAACAUUAAUAUCUUAUAAAAAUUUAAGAAUCAAAAUGAAUCUUUGCAAAAGAAUUUAGGAUGAAGUUUAACUUUUUUAUAUAUUAAGAAAUAGAAACGUGAGAAAAAUAAAGUUUAGAAUCUUAAUGUAAGUAACUAAAACUCCAAGGACCAAAUAUAUAAAAAUUAAAAAAAUAUAAAUCAAAUCCAAAUGGUGAACAGUAACACCCAUCUCUAGUAAUAAUUUUAAGUAGUGAAAUAAAAAUCGAAUCAACACUAAAGCCCAAUAACGCGAAAGUAUGUUGUGAAGGCCACUGUCAGUACAAACAAUUCAAUAGGGCUUAUAGUCCACAAAAUGUUAAAAGCAAACAAAGAAGUCCAAAACUGAUACCCAAACUUGUUCUUGGUGACGAUCCUCCAUUCUCCGCUGCUCUGCUCCACCCUACUGUUAGGGAUUGAGCGAUUUGUUUUGACAAACAUGCUUGCACAUAGGCAGAUUUGGAGGUGGGUAGCCCUUGAAGAACUUCGAUCACGAGAGCUUGGAUCAGAUCAUUAGGACAGAAACUGGACUGUUCUGAUAAAGAUGAUGAUGGUGUUUCUAUCUUUGUUAUUAUGUUGGAGCAGAAUGAUGAUGGUUUAUUUUAUUAAAAAAAUAAAUUAAUUUUAUUAAUAUUAAAUCACUACAAAGAAACUUACUCUUUUGACAUUGUUCAUAAAAUAUAAAAAAACUUUCAUAGUUUUAGUGAAUCAUUGCUUUUCAUUCUCAUAGGCAAAAAAAAAAAAAAAACAAAAUAGUGUUUGCUUUUCACUCCCUGGCAAACUGCUAAUGCCUAAUUGCCUUUUUAUACUGCUAGCCAUGGAAGCAAUGACGCUCCUUAAGACUUUUGCAGCUUUCCCAUUAUCAGAACUUAAAUCACUGCUCUAUCAAAUUUAUACUCCUUUAUUUAUGAAGUUAACAAACUGCUAAUGCUCAAUAUUGCCUAUAUGAACUUGGUGUGUUUGGUUCUCAAAUCCUGUAUAUGUUCCCUCCCUUAAGCCCUUUGCCGCUUUGCUAUUAUCAGAAUUUAAAUCACUGCUCUCUCAAUAUUUAAUUCAUAAUUUAAGAAGUUAACAAACCGUAUUUGUAUAAUUCUGUUGAACUUGAAACUUUACUGAAUCUAAAGCUUAUAAACAACAUAAUCAAUAUGCAAAAGUUACACUGAACAGACUUUUGGUCUUAUGCUUUCACUAAAAGAAUGUGCAUUGGAGAAGAAAACUUAAAUAGAUAUCAUCCUGAAAGACAAGAUAGCCAUAUCAGUAACCAAACCCUUCUGCAAAUUCCGCAUCAUUACACCAUCAGGAAAAAAAAUCAGUCUCUCAUGCCAUCUUCAGAAUAACAAGGAAAAAACCAGAACCACUCCCAAUUCGAGUUCUUGCAAAAUUGAUGCAUUAAACUUGUCUUCAUUUUUCUUUGAUGACAUUGGCCCUGUUACGUCAUGGUCGUUUCCGUUUCCAAUUGGGAUUUCAUAGUGGACUUCAAGUUCGGGAAAACCUGAAAAAACAAAAAGCUGCUUGUGGUGAAACAAAAGAUAUGCUUGCCUUAGUAUUGGUUAGGCAGCAACAUCAAAGUUAAAGUAAUGUUAAUUAAGUAUUGCCAAAUUGCAGCUGGAAAUGGCCAAUUCUUCUCAUUCGUCCUCGCCUAUUGGUCCUCUCAUUGCCGGUGAGAAUCCCAUAUAAUUAUACAUAUUAUUGUUUGAUAUACUGAGUUCAAAAGUGGAGGCUGGAGCCAAACACCCAACAUCUUCCUUGGAGAUUGAUGUUAAUAAAAUAAGUGGUGAGUGAGUUUCCAGGUAAUUCAUGACAAGCUAAUAUUUCCAAGUCUUGUUCCUCACUCUUCUCUUUACGUUGGAAUGGUCUUGUUACUCCAAAGGUUAAAGCCUUCAUGCUCCUACUGCAUGAUAAUAUCUACAAUAGAGACGUGUUGAUUAAUAGAAACUUGCUUGUUCAUAGGAAUGCUUCUUGUUGUUUUUGUGAUGCUCAUUUGAAGACUUCAAAUUAUCUUUUCUUAAAUUGUAGGAAUCUAGCAAAUUUUGGGGUAAAUUUGUGGAAUAGUUAGGUUUUCAAUUGUGCGUGUCAUAUACAAUUUAUCAAGCUUUGUUUCAAUGAAAGUUUUUGUUCAAAAAGAAAUUUUAAAGUCGGGCAAUCUUUAUGUUUGUUUAUGAUAUUUGCUGGGAAAUCUAGUUGUGUCAAAAUAAUUUUAUAUUUCAGAAUAAACUCUUAAACUCGUUAAUAAAUUUCUCUAACUUGAUCUAAUACCGCUUGUUAUCAUGGUUGAAGACUAACAACUCUAAUUUCAAUUAUAUAGGAAUGGAUUUGUUAAAGGUUUGGAGGAUAUUCUAAUAUGUUCCAAUUAGAUGAUAUUUACUUCUACUUUUUCAUUUAAUUUUUGUACUGAACUCUUUUUUCUAAGUGUCAUUGUUGCAAUGACGCUAGCUUACAUAUUAAUACAUACUAUCUCAAUAAUCAUUAAAAAUAAAUAAAUAAAUAAAAUAGUGGGUGUGUUAGUUGUGGUGUUGUACUCUACAAGUGCCCAUCUAUAAAUAAAAGUAUGGACUAUUUCUUUCCACUGUUGUUGCCUUAAAUUCAACAUCCUAUUAUCAGAAUUUAAAUCACUGCUCUCUCAAAUCUGUAAUUCAUAUAUAAUUUAAGAAGUUAACGAAUCUCAUCUGUAUAAUUUUUUUGAACUUUAAACUUUUCAUAAUCAAGAGCUAAUAAAUAACUCAUUCAAUCAAUUUUCAAAAUUUAUACCGUAUAGACUUUUGGUCAUACAUAUGCUUUCACUAAAAGCGUGCACAUUAGAAAAGAACACUUAAACUGCCAGCGCCAUAGAAGACAAAGAUGGCCAUAUCAGUGUCCAGCAUGCAAGUUCCGCAUCAUUACACCAUCAGGAAAAAAAAACAAUUUCUCUUGCUAUCUUCGGAAUAUAAUAAGGAAGAUAUCAGCACUACUACUAAUCAGAGUUCUUGCAAAAUCGAUGCGUUAAACCUGUCUUCAUUUCUCUUUGAUGACAUCGGCCCUAUUACACCAUGGUCUUUUGAUAUACAGUGGUCAAAAGAGGAGGCUGGAGCCAACCACCCAGCAUCUUCCUUGGAGAGUGAUGUUUCCGUGGUGGAUGUCGCUUGUGUGUGGCAUCUUGUUUGUGGCAUCAUAGCGAUGAUAUUUUUGGAUUGGAAUAGUCAGGAAUGAUGUAGGUAAAAAGAACACGAAAUUGUUUUUUAUCAAUGAAAAAAAAAAAAGAGGAGUUGUCAUCUCGUAUUUUGAUUAUUAGGAACCCUAACUAAUCUUAGAGUUUGGAUAAGAGAACUGAUUAUGUAAAGAAAAUUUAUUAGCACCCUUAAUAUGUCUACCUGAAGUAAGUUGUAUUGUCUAUUUGUUUGAUAUAAAAUAAGAAAAUAUUGUGUUUUCUAAUUAUUGGUAUGUUUAAGGUUGAAGAAAAAUACUCCCCCAUAAUGAGGCUCUUACCUUAUCAGGUUAAAAACCUAACUGUUCGAAUAUCAAUAUAAAAAUAAAACUAAAUUGUUUUUUUAUUUAAUUAGAAAUAUGUCUUACCGUAUAAUUCAUAAUUCCAUAUAUUAAAAAAAAUUAUUUUGGUAUUUUUGAAAUGCAUGCCAAAAUUCUUUGAAAUUUUACAAACUUCUUGUAAAAUCCAUUGCAAAAGUAUUUUAGAUUUUUAAAAUAAAUGCUCAAAUUAUUAUUUUUUAUAAUUGAUUUUUAAAAAUUCUCAAAAGUAGUUCUUCAAGAAAAAUUAUUUUUAAAGUCAAUUUAGGCUUUAAUUAGAAAAAAAAAAUAAAGUUUGAAGGUCGAUUAACACUUUUUAGGAUUUAAUUUGAUAAAAAUAGUGGCUUAAUUACAUAAAUAUUGAAGUUUGAAAAGCAAUUAGAAACUUAAUUGAAGAAAUUCAAAAACAAGAAUCAAACUACAAAAGACAUAUGAAUAUAGGGACUGAAAUUGACCAAAUCAAUGGCCAAUUUGAAGUAAUUGGAAGUUUGUUAGUCAAUUAAGGUUCAAAAUGCACAAAUUCAAAAUCAAGAAUAAAAAAAAAAAAAACAAUCAACUUAAAGGCUGAUAUUUGAGUCUAACGGGUGUUAAAUUGAAUGCAAUUAAAAAGUUUUUGUUUCACUUAAUGUUCAUGAAAUAUAUUAAUUAAGUAUACAACGAAUGUAAUUUUGGUUUGUUUAUAUGGCUUCAAUUUAAUAAGACUAACUACAUUCAUAAACUUGUUUUGAUUAAAUAAAUAUGUAGAAUAAUAAUUUUUAAUUUGAUAAUUAGAUAAUAUUUAUAUAAUCACAAUACAUGAUACAUGUAUUAACUUUAAUGUUUUGGAUACAAAAUAAAGUACCAUGAUAAAUAAUUUUUUAUCAAUUAAUGUAUACAUUAUAAAUUAAUAGUAUCUUAAUUAAUUAAUUUUUUGUAAUUCUAAAAGUAUUAAUUUGUAGAAAUUUAACAGGAAAGGGAAACCGAUAAUGCUCCAAAAAAUCCAAGUAGUUUAGAAGCAAGGCUUAUAUGUUGGAUAAUAGGUUAACCUUUUGGUUCUAGCAAUCUGAUCUAUUCUUCUUGGCCAAAAUAACUGGUAUCCGGUGUCUGGUGCCUAGUAAGCUAAUGUAGUUAGUACUUGCAAAAGGUUCAUCUUUGAUGGCUUUGGAAACUCUCAGAUGCUUAAAUAAAUAUUUUUUUAAAAAGAAAAGGCAAUGAUAUUUUAAAGAGAGAUACUCUGAAAAUAUGUAUGCAGUAGAAAAUGAAGAUUGUGAACCCUUUACCUGGGUAGUUUAAAGGAUAUUUAUAACCCUUAAAUCUUGUUUUUUGUUGAAGGGGUGGAGAGUCUUUUCCUUUUAAAAAUGUUACUACUGAAAAAUAUCAUUUCUAUCAACAUUAAUGUUGAUAGAAAUAACUCUUACACAAUAUUAAUACUAAUAGACAUAUCUUUUACAUAACAUUAAUGUUGAUGGGAAUACAACAGACCCAUAAAAUACUUUUUAUAUAAUAUUAUUUUGUAUAAACAAUAUUAAUAUUAAUGAAAAUAAAAUAGAUUCUUAAAAAAAAUUUAUACAUCUAAGAGUGUAAAGAGAGUAAAAUUUAAAAUGUAGUUUUUUCUUGAGGCUAAACUCAUAAAAGUUAGGCUCUUUAAUUUUUUAGGUUAAGCCCAUGAUGCAGAGCUCUUUCCCAAGGCUUAGAGGCUUAGCUUGUGAGGACUGAGCUUUUUUUUUAAACUUGUUAGAAAAUAAUAUAAAUCAUAUCAAUGAUGGAGAAUCUUGUUAGAGAAUUCACGGUGGUUGAUACUUUUCGAGCCCAUGAGCAUUGUAUCGACACACGUUGUUGUGUGAGUUUUGAGGCUUCGGAUUUGAGGAUGUUAAAUUUAGAUUUAUCAUAAACUUUUGUAAAUCAAAAGCUAUUAAACAACUCAAUCAAUAUGCAAAAGUUAUACCGAACAGACAUUUGGUCAUAUGCUUUAACUUAAAGUGUGUACUACAAAAGGACACUUGAAUUGCAACACCCUGCAGGAAGACAAAGUUAGUCAUAUCAGUAUCCAAACCAUUCUGCGAAUUCCGCAUCAUUAUUCCAUCAGGAAAAAAAAAAUCAGACUAUCUUGCUAUCUUCAGAAUAAUAAGGAAGAUAUCAAAACUACUACUAAUCAGAGUUCUUGCAAAAUCGAUGCAUUAAACCUGUCUUCGUUUCUCUUUGAUGACAUCAACCCUAUUAACUCAUGUUCGUUUCCGUUUCCAAUUUGAAUUAAGAGUCUUAGUCGACUUAAAAUUCAGUAAAAACUAAAAAAAAGACUUGCUGAGGUGAAUCAAACAGCAUGCUUGGCUUAGGAUUGGUUGGGCAGCAACAUCACAGUUAAAGUAGUUUUAAUUUAGUAUUUCCAAAUUGUAACUGGGGUUAACCAAUUCUUUGUCCUGGCCUUUUGUCCCUUUUCAUUUCCAUUGAGAAUCCCAUAUAAAUAUCCAAUUUAUUCUUUGAUAAACAGAGAGGUCAAAAGUGGAGGCUGGAUCGAGCCAACCACCCAGCGUCUUCCAUGGAGAGUGAUGUUACACCUUGGCUUUAUGAAAAAAAUAAAAAAAGUGUCGAAGGACAAAUAUAUUAUGUUUGUUGAAAGACAAAUAAAGAUACUCCAACAAAUCCUAAGGAUAAAUUCCAUUAACUACUGAGGCGGGCAAUAUUUAUCGUGUCGGCUAACUUGAUCGCCAAGUCUUCAAGUCCUCGAUAAAAAAAUUCUGAUAAGAAAAAAAAAAAAAAAAAAAACUUCACUAGCUUAUAAAUAUGGAACUACUUUCAAUAUUGUGAUAGAAGCCAAGACACCAGGUUGAUAACUAGAAAAAUGUGGACUGAGCUAAGCGCCACCAUAUCUAGUCUAGCGGUUGCUUUCUUCAUGUUUGAAAAAUAUUUGAACUAUUUUCCUUAUACAAUUCGUGGGUAUGUUGAAAGAAAUUUUCGGAAGGUGGUUAAUUUUGUGAACCCUUAUGUGGAAAUUUCUUUCCAUGAAUUCACAAGUGAACGCCUCAAGCGUAGCGAUGCCUUCUUUGCCAUUCAAAACUAUAUCAGCACCAGCUCUACCGAGAAUGCUAGGAGACUCAAGGCUGAUGUUGUCAAAGACAGCCAAUCUGUAGUCCUCACCAUGGAUGCUAAUGAAGAAGUUACCGAUGUUUUCAACGGGGCCAAGGUCUGGUGGGCAUCAGGCAAAACUCCCCCCCAAUCAAAAUCCAUUUCUUUGUAUCCUGGCUCUGAAGAAAAGAGGUAUUACAAGCUCGCUUUCCAUAAACGUUAUAGGGAAAUCAUCACCAAGUCUUAUGUAGAACAUGUUCUGAAAAAAGGAAAGGAAAUUCAAGGGAAGAACAGACAGAGGAUGCUUUACACAAACAAUCCUAGCAAGGACUGGCACGGGUGGAAGGCUACCAAGUGGGGCAAUAUAGUGUUUGAGCAUCCUUCUACAUUCGAUACUUUGGCAAUGGACACAGCGAAGAAAGAAGAGAUCAAGAAGGACCUAAUCAAGUUCAGCAAAGGGAAAGACUAUUACGCAAAAAUCGGGAAGGCCUGGAAGCGUGGUUAUCUCCUUUAUGGUCCUCCCGGAACUGGAAAAUCAUCUAUGAUUGCUGCCAUGGCUAAUUUAUUGGAUUAUGAUGUUUAUGAUUUGGAGUUGACAACUAUAAAGGACAACAGCGAGCUGCGGAUGCUACUCAUUGAAACGAAAGGAAAGUCUAUUAUUGUGAUUGAGGAUAUUGAUUGCUCGCUUGAUCUUACAGGUCAGAGAAAGAAAAGGAAGGAGAAAGAUGAUGAUGAAGCAGACAAAGAGAAGGAUCCGAUUUCUAAGAUGAAAAAGGAGGCUGAAGAAGAAAGCGGAAGCGGCAGUAAGGUUACUUUAUCAGGGCUUUUGAACGUUAUUGAUGGAAUUUGGUCUGCUUGUGGUGGAGAAAGGAUUAUUAUAUUCACUACCAAUUACGUGGACAAACUCGAUCCUGCUUUGAUUAGGAGGGGGAGGAUGGAUAAGCAUAUAGUAAUGUCAUAUUGCUGCUUUGAAGCAUUCAAGGUGCUAGCCAGGAAUUAUUUGGAUAUUGAAUCGCAUGAAUUAUUUGGGAAAAUCGAAGAGUUGUUUGUUGAGGCAAAGAUGUCCCCAGCUGAUGUUGCUGAUAGUUUGAUGCCAAAGUCGGACGAACAAGAUGAGGAGACUUGUUUGAAGAGAUUGGUUGAAGCUCUUGAAGCUUCAAAGGAGGAAGCUAGAAAGAAAUCAGAAGAAGAAGCACUGCUGAAGACUAGGAUGGAGUAGUCACUGAAG